rnacentral:tRNA from 1 species
GGAAAUACAACUGAAUGAUAAAGUGCUUGCCUGGCAUGAGUGAGGGUCCUAGGUUCAAUUCCUAGUAUUCCA